AUCUCUGUGAUUAGUUUUUCUAUAAUCUUAUAAAAUCUGUCUAAAUAUUAUAAACUUGGACAGUAUUUCCAUCUUUUAUUAUAACAUAUCUCCAAAAGCUUACAUCUCCGAAUCUCCACGUCACAUUAAGAGGAAGAAGAAUGACUUGGCAGCUAGUAUAAUGAUGAUGUGACAAAUAAUGCAUGAUGAUGAAGAAGAUGGGAAGAGAGAAUUAAGGAAGAGAUGCAAAUGAUUGAGGGAGAGAAAGAGCGGUGGAGUUUUUAUGGUUCAUGGUUGAUGAGAGUGGUCUCUUCUUCCAGAGUUCACACACCAAAAUUAUGAAAUGAAUGGUGUUUGUAGAAUCGGAUAAAAUGAUGUGUCGUGAGGUUUUAAGGCUGGUGAAAAUCUGUGGUCAUU
rnacentral:lncRNA from 1 species